AUUCCUCCAAAUUCUAACGGUAGGAUUUGGGUUGAGGAUGAAUAGCCCAGUGGUGCAAAUAAAUAGAGGAGGCUAGCUAGGCUCAUCGCACCACCACACAUCCUCUGCCCCCGCAGCCCAAAAUGCAUCCUAGAUCGGAGUUGAGGCCUUCCAGCGUCCAGCGACGGGCCGGUGCGACGAUAUUCCGGCGGCUAGACUCCUGAAGUCCUGAUCCUCUUCGGCCCUUUUCCUCACGCCUGAUGGCUCAGGCAAAAGAUGCAUCGUCGUCGACCAAAGUGGGAACCAUUGCCGUGGACUACAUGGCGGAGCUGAGGCAGAUGUUGAGACUUGAGAGUGCUUGGAUGUUACCUCCAGCCAGUUUACACGACCCAGCAUCAUUUUCAGCAGAGUAAAUUUCAAAAAACCACCGGUUUCAUGGAGACACGGGUUUUAAGGUAAUAAUUUUGGCUUUACUUUGAAAACAUGAUUACGAGCACAAGGCUUUUGUAUGUGAUUGUUAAGGCUUUUCUUGAGGUAAUAAUUUUGGCUUUACUUCGAA